UUCUUAUUGGAUGAUGAUUGUCACGUGUCAUGUUCUGAUUGAAUGUCAACUCCAUGAAAGAUGAAAUGAAUUGUUGUUUUUAUUGACCAAUAUUAAUCAGAACAUGACACGUGACCGUCAUCAUCC
rfam:Glycine soja cultivar W05 scaffold2263_6, whole genome shotgun sequence.